UGGGGAAUCUUGCGCAAUGGGGGCAACCCUGACGCAGCCAUACCGCGUGAGUGAUGAAGGUCUUCGGAUUGUAAAGCUCUUUCGGCGGGGACGACGAUGACGGUACCCGCAAAAGAAGUCACGGCUAACUUCGUGCCAGCAGCCGCGGUAAUACGAAGGUGGCGAAUGUUGCUCGGAUUCACUGGGCGUAAAGCGUCUGUAGGUGGCUUGUUAAGUUAGAGGUGAAAGCCCCGCGCUCAACGUGGGAACUGCCUUUAAAACUGGCGAGCUUGAGUGUAUCAGAGGAAGGCGGAAUUACUGGUGUAGAGGUAAAAUUCAUAGAUAUCAGUAGGAACAUCCAUGGCGAAGGCAGCUUUCUGGGAUAUAACUGACACUGAGAGACGACAGCGUGGGGAGCAAACAGG
rnacentral:rRNA from 1 species